rnacentral:rRNA from 1 species
AUUGAACGCUGGCGGCAGGCCUAACACAUGCAAGUCGAACGGUAACAGGAAGAAGCUUGCUUCUUUGCUGACGAGUGGCGGACGGGUGAGUAAUGUCUGGGAAACUGCCUGAUGGAGGGGGAUAACUACUGGAAACGGUAGCUAAUACCGCAUAACGUCGCAAGACCAAAGAGGGGGACCUUCGGGCCUCUUGCCAUCGGAUGUGCCCCGAUGGGAUUAGCUAGUAGGUGGGGUAACGGCUCACCUAGGCGACGAUCCCUAGCUGGUCUGAGGGGAUGACCAGCCACACUGGAACUGAGACACGGUCCAGACUCCUACGGGAGGCAGCAGUGGGGAAUAUUGCGCAAUGGGCGCAAGCCUGAUGCAGCCAUGCCGCGUGUAUGAAGAAGGCCUUCGGGUUGUAAAGUACUUUCAGCGGGGAGGAAGGGAGUCAAGUUAAUACCUUUGCUCAUUGACGUUACCCGCAGAAGAAGCACCGGCUAACUCCGUG